UAAUAUUAUGAUGUUUAAUAUUUUUAUAAUUAUAUAAAAUGUAAAUGUUGUUAAUUUAUUAUUUAACCGCUGUUGAAUCAGUCAUAAGUGUCACGCAAAUGCAUUAAUUUCUAAUCGCAGUACCAGUCGUACAAAUCUCGUAAAAUCAUUUAUAACCGCAACGAUCCGCAUCCGCAAACUCAUUCAACCGCAACCGCUGCAGUUACACCAGUCAAGCCCUUAGUCGUAUGAUAAUUGUUAAAUGUAUUUUAAGGAAUGCAUAUUUUGUGGAAAUUUCAAAUCUAAAUUAUCUUCCGAGAAAAUCUUCCUUUGGAGAUAAGAUAUCUUUCUUAAAAUGUAGAUUUAUGGGUGAGUAUUUCAAAAGAAACAUGCUGAAUAAAGUAAGGAAUCAUUGUGAAACAGUGAAUUCUCCUCAUCAAUUUAUCUUGGCAUAUUUAGAAAAGGAAAGAAAGAAAUUUUAGAAAAGGUUGACCGGGUGAUUGUGGUCGAGUGGUAAGGAGACGGGACUUAGACGCCAAAACGUUUCAGGUUCGAUCCACCUGCUGCGCGAAACUAAGUCACAAUUAUCUUGGUCACCUAACACGGAUAUGGGCCUAUGCUUGACCAUGCACUUCCCCUUGGAGAUUAGUCUGACCCUUUCCAUGGGCCCGGGAUACCCCAAGGUUAAUCAAAAAAAAAAAAAAAAAUUAGAAAAGGUUUGUUGAAAGAAAAAAAAUAUUUUACAAAAGAUUUAUUUGUUUCUCUUAAAAUAUGUAUCCAUAAAAAAAAACAAAAGGAGGCGAGAUAGUGAGGUUAUGAUUUAGGCAGGAAUGAGACUGAAUGUAUUGGAGGAUUUAUUUUUUAGCAGAACUGAGUUUGAAAUCUGAAAUCCGAAAUCCGAAGCUCUCACCGUUGAGUGCUGCGUCUAUCUCAAUCUCCGGUCAUUUCGCCGGUAAGACUCGAUCUAUUUGUAUGUGUAUCUCCGUCUACUUGGUUUGAAUUGUUUUAUUGGUUUGAAUAUAUUUCAAUCUCUUUAAUCCAGUUUCACUGCCUUCUUCAUUCCCACCUUUUGUAGACGAUUCAGAAAUUCAGAUUAGUGAUUCAAUGAAUGCUUAUUUCUAUUUAAAGUUUCGAUCUUUUCUUUUUGUUUAUACAAUCUUGAUAAUGGGUUCGGCGACUACAGCUUCAGAGUUUAUGUUACUGGUUGAUAACUGCGAGUUUUGUGUGUGUUUAUUCAAGGCUCUUUGCCUCCUGAGCUUGCUAACAAUGUGGUUAGGUUGUAGCGUGAAUGUCUUCGUAGAGACACAUUCAUUGGUAAGCAGUUGAGAUUUUAUGUUCUUUGAAUAUGAGCUUGCUUUUUCAGAUUUAGACACUUGAGCUCCCUCGAUCACUUUAAUGGCGAUUUCAUAGUCUGUCACACAUGACCUAUAUAUGGGGUCUUGAGCAGAAGAACGAGUUGAAGAAAAUUUGAAAAUACGUUUCUUGUGAGUUGUGACAAAGCAUUUGCCUUGAAUAUUGUGGAGGAAGGGUCUGAAUAUUUUAUCGUCUAAAUGUUUCAUCACCGAGAAAAACAAAGAAACCUUUGGUAAUGAAUGUUGUUUUAUUUAUCGGCUGAGUUUGACCCCAAAAACAAUUGUUGCCUGAGUAUUUGAAUUAGGGAAUAAAAACCAUCAAAAUGAUACUAACACCGACAC